UUCCACCCCGGCCCGGGCGCGCCCCAGGUCAAGAUGGGGGAGGGGUCCGUUCCCCACGUGGCCCGGUGGGGGUGCGGAAGCGGCUAGCCCCGCCCCCCGGCCACGUGCGCGACCCUUCCCCCUCUUCUCCUCCCCAGUUUGUGGCCCUGCUCGACCGCGCGCCCCCUGCCUUCUCUCGCCCGCUUUCAUGGGGGUCCCCCUCGCCGCUCCCGGAGACCCGCAGCUAGCCCUUCAGGAGUUGUUACCCCAUUUCAUAGAUGAAGACAUCAAGGCUGGGAGAGGCCCCAGAAGAGGCCUGAAGUGGCUGGCCCACAUGCAAGAGCUAGGAGGCAGCAGAGGGUUUGGGGGCCUGAGCUUCUGUCCUGGCCGGGGCACCCACACAGAGCCGUGCACCAUGUGGGAUCUUAGUUCCCUGACCAGGGAUCGAACCCAUGCCCCCUGCAUUGGGAGUGCGGAGUCUUAACCACUGGACUGCCAGGGAAGUCCCCCAGAAAAUAUUCUUAAGGAAACAGAAACGUCUGUGUAUGGCUGCACUGUUGUAAUGGGGUAAGAGGAGAACAGGUGGACCAGCCUGUGUCGGUCACUGUGUCACGGAGCACGAGGCUAUGGGAGGGCCAAGACACAGGGUCAGCUGCGAGCUCGAGCUCACCGGAAGCCACAGCCCCUUCACGCUGUGAACUCUCGGUGUUUCCACCUGUCUCUGCAGCCUUUUAGUGCACAGUGGCCUCUGCCAGCCCGUCCACAGCGGUCACCUCUGCAGGGGCCUGGAGACGCACGAAGAGGAAGGGGACGUGGGGUGGGGGGCUAGGGGCGGGUGGUUCAGCUCCUCAGAGCGUCAGGCUGGGCAGGCAGGUGCACCCGUUUUUACCACCUGCCUGGCAUUGGGCAUUUGUGGGUGUGACCCCCAGCCUCUCCACGUGGGUCCUGCUUGCAGCUCUCAAAGGACAAAAGCCCCCACCCCUCGUGGAGCAGACGUUCCAGCAGGAUGUUGUACUUUGACAACAGAGCAUUUUUUAAGAUUCAUGCA